ensembl:lncRNA
GCCAGAGGGAACGUUGCAGCUCGCCAAAAUUAGCAAGGUGCUGAUGUCGAUGGAACAAGGCCGACUAAUGGACUUUAAGGGGAAAAAUUUGGAUGAAAUAGAAAUACAACCUCAUGGUAUGUGUAAUACUAAAGCAUGCAUAUAUCGUAUAUUUAGAUAAGAAUGUUCAAUCACAUUCAUGAUUUCCUGAUAUUAAGUUUAUAUUUUGCAGAGCAAGUUCAGCUGCCUGAUGAGGGAAUGGAGGAAGAAGAGCACGAGGACAGUGGUUUACAAACAGCAGAUGAUGUCAGGUCGCUUUCCAGUGUAUCCUUGGAAGAUACAGCAGAAACAGGUAUGAAAGAAAAAUAUCACUGAAUAUGUGUGUUUCAGGACCCAGGCCAGACAUUUUACUAGCCUGGCAAACCAUAUGUUUGGUCUGGGCACACACCAUUGGCAGGGCUCAAUCCGAGGUGCGGGAUAAACGGUUGGCUCCAAAUUCCCUCUGCACGCAAUAGAAUAGAUUUCUAGGCUAGGGACCACACAGACUUCAAACGCAACCAACCCGGUCUAUGUUAAGCCCGCCCACCGACUCUACAUGAUACGAUACAAACCAGAGUUUGUUUUUUCAGCUAGCGAGUUACUAGACACCCCUGGCUGUAAAUUACAUUUGCUACCGCUAGGGUGCGUCUAGAUUUCUAGGCUAACAUUUUACAGCUACAAUGCUCAUUUCUUCUGACCUGUUCAGUCACAACAUUUCCAACGCUUCUUCUCUGUAGUUUGUUAGCACAAGGCUAAGGGAAUUCUCAUGUUUUACAUGUUUAUUGUUGUUGUGUAGAUGUCAGGUCGCUUUCCAAUGUAUCCUUGGAAGAUACAGCACAGCUGGGACACAUGUCACAUCCAAAAGCUCACUCUGCUCCGAAGAGGAAAUGGGAAUCACAGGAAGUGGAGGCAAUUGAAAAGCGGUUGGGUGCUUUUAUUAAAUCUUUACGUGUCCCAGGAAAAGUGGAUUGUGUCACAUGCUUAGAAGCGGAACCCAGAGCCUUAAAGAACAGAGACUGGCAGG